rnacentral:rRNA from 1 species
AUUGAACGCUGGCGGCAGGCCUAACACAUGCGAGUCGAGCGGAUGAAGGGAGCUUGCUCCUGGAUUCAGCGGCGGACGAGUGAGUAAUGCCUAGGAAUCUGCCUGGUAGUGGGGGAUAACGUCCGGAAACGGGCGCUAAUACCGCAUACGUCCUGAGGGAGAAAGUGGGGGAUCUUCGGACCUCACGCUAUCAGAUGAGCCUAGGUCGGAUUAGCUAGUUGGUGGGGUAAAGGCCUACCAAGGCGACGAUCCGUAACUGGUCUGAGAGGAUGAUCAGUCACACUGGAACUGAGACACGGUCCAGACUCCUACGGGAGGCAGCAGUGGGGAAUAUUGGACAAUGGGCGAAAGCCUGAUCCAGCCAUGCCGCGUGUGUGAAGAAGGUCUUCGGAUUGUAAAGCACUUUAAGUUGGGAGGAAGGGCAGUAAGUUAAUACCUUGCUGUUUUGACGUUACCAACAGAAUAAGCACCGGCUAACUUCGUG